rnacentral:rRNA from 2 species
GGGACUGCGGCCUAUCAGUUUGUUGGUGAGGUAAUGGCCCACCAAGACUAUUACAGGUACGGGCUCUGAGAGGAGUAGCCCGGAGAUGGGUACUGAGACACGGACCCAGGCCCUAUGGGGCGCAGCAGGCGAGAAAACUUUGCAAUGUGCGAAAGCACGACAAGGUUAAUCCGAGUGGUUUCUGCUAAAGGAACCUUUUGUCAGUCCUAGAAACACUGAUGAAUAAGGGGUGGGCAAGUUCUGGUGUCAGCCGCCGCGGUAAAACCAGCACCUCAAGUGGUCAGGAUGAUUAUUGGGCCUAAAGCAUCCGUAGCCGGCUCUGUAAGUUUUCGGUUAAAUCUGUACGCUCAACGUACAGGCUGCCGGGAAUACUGCAAAGCUAGGGAGUGGGAGAGGUAGACGGUACUCGGUAGGAAGGGGUAAAAUCCUUUGAUCUAUUGAUGACCACCUGUGGCGAAGGCGGUCUACCAGAACACGUCCGACGGUGAGGGAUGAAAGCUGGGGGAGCAAACCGGAUUAGAUACCCGGGUAGUCCCAGCUGUAAACCAUGCAAACUCAGUGAUGCAUUGGCUUGUGGCCAAUGCAGUGCUGCAGGGAAGCCGUUAAGUUUGCCGCCUGGGAAGUACGUACGCAAGUAUGAAACUUAAAGGAAUUGGCGGGGGAGCACCACAAGGGGUGAAGCCUGCGGUUCAAUUGGAGUCAACGCCGGG